AUUUGUGCUGUGGGAUGGGGUAGUACAUUGCUUUAGUCUAGAAUUGAGAUUCCAGACUCCUUGUGCUUAAGCAAAGGCGCCCAGAACCUCUCCUUAGUUCCAUCUGAAACAAUGUUUAGACUAAUGGUAGUGCCUGGACAGAAUAAGCACUUGGUCAGGAGCUAUCAAAUAAACAGAUGGAUGAAGUCAUCAAUUGAUUAUAUGAAAACGAAGACAUUUGUGAAAGUUGCUAGUCCUGAAUUUCCUGUUCUUUAGCUCUUGCCUAAAAAAAUUUGAGAACGUCGAAACCUGUGAAAGAAAGUUAUGGAGACAUGCAAAUUGUCCUCAAAAGCAGAGCUUUCCAACCAGCAUACUGGGAGGGGUUUAAUGCAGGUAGCCACUAAGGCUCUUAAGCCAGUUUCCCAAGACAUAAAGGGCCUCACGUGAGGCUCCUAAAAGGGUACGUGAUUGGAGAAGAAUUUGAGGGUAAGCCCCAUGGCACCCAUAAACUUGAGGAAUGAAAAUUGGCAUUCUCUGCUCUGACAAGCAACCCCAAGUGUGCAGGAAAUGCUUUUUAUCCAGAUUUCUAUCUCAGCUGCCAUCUAUAGAGUGUGGCUGACCAUUCUGGAAAAGAUAUGCAAUGAUGCAGGAGUUCCUGUUCCAGUUGACUAAAAAACAUUGCUGAUGUAGUAGCCCAAGGUGAAGCCGGUAAAUGUUGGUGGGGGGCUGACUGUGGGCUGCUGGUGGUACACUUUUCAAACCUGAGCUAUCUGGUCAUUUUGUAGCAGAUGUAUCCUAUCAGUGGAGUUCAAAUGACCUCCAGGGAAACUGUACUAACAAUGCAAUGUAAAUUAAAGCAUUAGCAUUAUAAUUAUUAUUAUUAUUAAUUUUAUUUGUUAUUUAUUUGCUUUUUAGGACUGCACCUGUGGCAUACAGAGGUUCCCAGGCUAGGGGUCCAAUUGGAGCUCCACCUGCCAGCCUACGCCACAGCCACAGCCACGCCAGAUCAAAGCUGCAUCUGUAACCUGCACCAAAGCUCACAGCAAUGCCAGAUCCUUAACCCACUGAGAGAGGCCAGGGAUCGAACCCACAACCUCAUGGUUCCUAGUCAGAUUCAUUUCUGCUGUGCCAUGGUGGGAACUCCAGCAUUAUUUUUCAACACUUGAUGUGAACAAAAUUUAUUGCACUUACAAGUCACGUGAAAAUUCACCACUGUGUCUCUUGAUGAAAGUUGAGGAAAAGUUGUUAGAUUCUUUAAAUGUAAUUUCAAUAGCUUUAAAUAUUUAGAUGGUUGUAAGAUAAAAACACAAUGGCUAUAAAUUUUUUAUCAUCUACUUUUGCAAAUGGUUUCUUAUCAACAAUGAUAAUCAAGAAUUUGAAGAGCUCAUCAUCAAGUUGUCAGGAAUUAGCCACUUCAUGUAUAAAACAUGAAUUAAAAAUAUUAUUGACAAAUUUUGUCAUUGACAAAAUUUCACCUUUCUCUUCAAAUUUUUGAAAAUAUUUAUAAAUUUUAUCAAAUUUAAUAUUUUCUUUAAUAGGAUUUUAUUAUACGCUAAAAAGAAAAUCUAACCACUUUAACCAAAUCUUCUAGAGAAUCUCCAAAAUAACUCAGUUUUCCUUAAUGUGCCAUAUAAAUGUUAUCAGUAUGAGUUACCAAGGUGUGCACAACCACACACACACACACACACACACACACGGAAGAAAACACGAUCUAAGUCUCUGAGACUAGUUAGGAUGCUUAUCUUGACCUUUCUUUGGUUUCCUUGAGAACUGUCUUUAGGUCUUAUGAUUUAACUCUUUAGACCUGGCUUAUGCCAAAGAUCAGAAAGUUGCUACAAUUUUAGUGUUUUAGGUAUUGCUUAUUACCCAGAUUGCAUGUGAUGGGAAUCUUUCUGAGUGUCUUCUUCUCCUAAUGGGCUGGUAUGAUCUUUUAUGAAUUUUUUGUUGUUUGUUUAUUUUCUAGGGCUGCACUAGGGAUCUAAUCAAAGCUGUAGCUGCUAGCCUCCGCCACAGCCACAGCUAUCCUGGAUCUGGCGUCUGAGACCUACACCCCAGCUCAUAGCAAUGCCGUAUCCUUACCCCACUGAGCAAGGCCAGGGAUCGAACCCGCAACCUCAUGGUUCCAAGUCGGAUUCAUUUCCCCUGUGCCACGACAGGAGCUCUAGGAAAGCAUUUUUAAAUGAUUUUUUAUAAAUAUGGGUCAAAUAACAUAUGAGAUGUGCUAAAGGUACGCUGUCAUGUCUUUUCUUCCACAGUGUCCCCUAUUGUAGGACAUCAUAAUAUUUUCUAAUACCUGUGAUCUAGCUCUGUCUUUUCUAGGUUCUCAGAACUAGUGGUUGCUUGUGUCUUUCCCCUUCUAAACUCUGUCCCGUGUAUCUGUCCUUUUUUCUGUAUGGUAUUUAUUAAAAGAAUUUUCAAGUUUUAAGAAGGGUUAGAAAUAGGCAGGGGUGCUUAUGUAAGUAUAUUUUUGAGGACUGUAUUUGUUUUAGAUAGGUGUACUAGUGUUUCCAUGUGUUAAUAUAAAUCAGUAGGGAUAAAUUGCAUUUUUUGUUUUAUCUUUCAUAUAUAUCUACCUGAACUCUUCUUUAGGAUUACAUUCUCUUUGAGGACAGAGCUUAUAUCUCUUAAAAAUCUAGCAACCAAAUGAACCUAGUAUAUUCUGAUGAAAACGAUGGUUGCUUAUCCCUAUCAGCUCUAUUUUGCUAAUGAAACAUGACUUUAAAGAAGUCUGGGCAGGUCAGAUGCACUGGUCUGGGAAUCAGGAGAGUCCUAAAUUCCCAAGUCUUAACUCUGGUGCUAAGUUGCUCUGAUUUUUGGCUUACUUGUUCCAUUUUUCUUACCUAUAAAAUUAAGGGAUAUGAGUAGUAUGUUUUCAGAAAUUUCUGUCAUUUUGUAGUUCUGAUGAAAUUAUAAAGUUCUGUGGAAAUAAAUGAUCAUAACUCGGGUGUUCCCUUUGUGGCUCAGUUGUUAACAAACCUGACUAGGAUCCAUGAGGAUAUGGGUUCGGUCCUUGGCCUUGCCCAGUGAGUUAAGGAUCCAAGCGUUGCCGUGAGCUGUGGUGUAAGUUGUAGGUGUGGCUCAGAUCCUUCAUGGCUGUGGCUGUGGCUGUAGCUCUGAUUUGACCCCUAGCCUGGGAACUUCCAU
rnacentral:lncRNA from 1 species